rnacentral:rRNA from 1 species
UACGUAGGGUCCGAGCGUUGUCCGGAAUUAUUGGGCGUAAAGGGCUCGUAGGCGGUCCGUCACGUCGGGAGUGAAAACUCGGAGCUCAACUCCGAGCCUGCUUCCGAUACGGGCAGACUAGAGGUAGGCAGGGGAGAACGGAAUUCCGUGGUGUAGCGGUGAAAUGCGCAGAUAUCAGGAGGAACACCGGUGGCGAAGGCG